GGCUCAGAUUGAACGCUGGCGGCAUGCUUUACACAUGCAAGUCGAACGGCAGCGCGGGGCAACCUGGCGGCGAGUGGCGAACGGGUGAGUAAUAUAUCGGAACGUACCCAAGAGUGGGGGAUAACGUAGCGAAAGUUACGCUAAUACCGCAUACGAUCUAUGGAUGAAAGCAGGGGACCGCAAGGCCUUGUGCUCCUGGAGCGGCCGAUAUCUGAUUAGCUAGUUGGUGAGGUAAAGGCUCACCAAGGCGACGAUCAGUAGCUGGUCUGAGAGGACGACCAGCCACACUGGAACUGAGACACGGUCCAGACUCCUACGGGAGGCAGCAGUGGGGAAUUUUGGACAAUGGGCGCAAGCCUGAUCCAGCAAUGCCGCGUGAGUGAAGAAGGCCUUCGGGUUGUAAAGCUCUUUUGUCAGGGAAGAAACGGC
rnacentral:rRNA from 1 species